UACGUAGGGGGCAAGCGUUGUCCGGAUUUAUUGGGCGUAAAGAGCGUGUAGGCGGCUAGAUAGGUCCGUUGUGAAAACUCGAGGCUCAACCUCGAGACGUCGAUGGAAACCAUCUGGCUAGAGUGCGGGAGAGGAGAGUGGAAUUCCUGGUGUAGCGGUGAAAUGCGCAGAUAUCAGGAAGAACACCCGUGGCGAAGGCGGCUCUCUGGAACGCAACUGACGCUGAGACGCGAAAGCGUGGGGAGCAAACAGG
rnacentral:rRNA from 1 species